rnacentral:rRNA from 1 species
CAGUAGCCGCGGGAAAACGGAGGGAGCUAGCGUUAUUCGGAAUUACUGGGCGUAAAGCGCACGUAGGCGGCUUUGUAAGUUAGAGGUGAAAGCCUGGAGCUCAACCCCAGAAUUGCCUUUAAGACUGCAUCGCUUGAAUCCAGGAGAGGUGAGUGGAAUUCCGAGUGUAGAGGUGAAAUUCGUAGAUAUUCGGAAGAACACCAGUGGCGAAGGCGGCUCACUGGACUGGUAUUGACGCUGAGGUGCGAAAGCGUGGGGAGCAAACAGGAUUAGAUACCCCCGUAGUCCCUGUCUCUUAUAC